rfam:Bacillus sp. OV166 genome assembly, contig: Ga0115450_11
UGGGCAGUAUCCACUGAGAACUGCACCUUUAUGAAACUAACAAUUAAAAAGGUUUCUGCCUAGAUCCGUGUAGCGGACCGGGACAGAGGG